rnacentral:lncRNA from 1 species
UCGCUUUCGCCCAAGGCCCAUGGCUCCCCUUGUCGGUCGUCGGGUUCUUCAUGGUCGCCGUGCAUGUGCGUCACCCAGUCGGUGCCGCGCAGGGCAUGGACAACGAUCAUGCGAGCGAGCCACUCGAAGCCGCCCUCGACGCCAGCGAGGCCGGCUUCCGCGGCGGCUCUCGCGUCAGCCGCGGUCUCGUACUCGCCUCUCGGGCCUCGCGGGAAAUUGACCUCGGUGUCGUCGCCCCACACAAAGGCGUCGGCCACGGUGGGCGCAUCCGAUAUACACAGGCCCUUGUCGCAUCGCUGUACCCGGUACACCGACACAACGGCACCAUAGGCGCCGCCGUCACCGUUGCCGGCGUGCCCUAUAUCUGUCGGCCACAGCACGACGAGAUAGAGCGUCGAUGGAUCGCGCCACGGGGCGCAGCCGGCGGCCGUGUCCCAGCCGGGAAAGGGCUCGGGAAAUUGUCUAUGCACCGCGGCGGCGAUCACCGCGGCCAGUUCGGUGGCCACAUACGCGGUACGGUCCAAGAGAAUCUCACGGAGGUGUUGCGCAAAAAAGGCAAGCACCCCUGUGCACGGUCCCUCGGUGCAUUCCGUGGCGAUCCACAGGACCCACAACAGACGAUCAAAGAGGCUGCCAGUCGCGGGGACCUGCCCGUUGGCCACAAGUCGCUCGGCCUCGGCGCGUGCGUCGGGAUAGGCGUCAAGCGCGGCGAUCCACACGGGGUCGGCACCGCGCAGCAGCGACUCGCUCAUACCGUCGACCUUGUCCUCUGUGCGAACCGGUCGCCGUCGCCUACGGUCUCGGCCGCUCCGGGGGGCCUCUUGUGUGGGCGCACGCCGCCGCGCGCGCAAGGGCACGCCUUCACACAAAAAAAAACCCCGACGAGGAUGGACGAUUGCCUAGCACGCGACCGGCGCCUUGCAAAGCAGGGAGAAUGCCAUACUUGGCGUCUGCCGCCGCAAGCCGCUCCCCUUUUGGUCAAUGCGGUGCUUUUUCCGUUUCAAUGGAUCGCCGAUCCGAUGCUCGAAAGAUGGGGCUCUGAAACUGCAAAUUUCGGAAAAAUGCACAAAAGGCCCAUGCCAUCGCCUGCACAUGAAAAAAGUACACUGAUUGUCCUCUUGCCGAGCGCAGGCCAACCAUUUUCGAAAAAACGCUGAUCAUUA